CCUACGGGAUGCAGCAGUAGGGAAUAUUGCUCAAUGGGGGAAACCCGGAAGCAGCAACGCCGCGUGGAGGAUGAAGGUUUUCGGAUUGUAAACUCCUUUUGUUAGAGAAGAUAAUGACGGUAUCUAACGAAUAAGCACCGGCUAACUCCGUGCCAGUAGCCGCGGUAAUACGGAGGGUGCAAGCGUUACUCGCAAUCACUGGGUGAAAAGAGUGAGUAGGCGGGAGAGCAAGUCAUAUGGUAAAUCCUCUGGCUUAACCAAAGAACUGCAUUUGAAACUGUUAUUCUAGAGUAUGGGAGAGGUAGGUGGAAUUCUUGGUGUAGGGGUAAAAUCCGUAGAGAUCAAGAGGAAUACUCAUUGCGAAGGCGACCUGCUAGAACAUAACUGACGCUGAUGCGCGAAAGCGUGGGGAGCAAACAGGAUUAGAUACCCCAGUAGUC
rnacentral:rRNA from 1 species